UUCAUGCAGCCCAGUUCCCCUGGAGUGACCCUGAGUGUUUUAGUCCUGAGAAACGUGACACCCAUUGCUACCACUUCCAAACCUUGAGACUCUUGUGCAACUCCUUCUUCAUACUCUCCUUCAUUCUACUCUGGCCAGCUUUUCACUGUUAUCCAGAAGCUUCCUGGUUCUGGGAGGACUCUACUAAUAGGAUCAGAACCCUCCACUUUGUCCCAACUAUCAUGAUCCUUGGGCAUUCAAAUUCUAUCUUCUGAACACCUCUCAGAUCUAUGCCUUUCUCUCAAGUCAAGGCCCUGAUCAAUUCUAUGGCAGCUCCUAAUACCAAAGACAAAGGGAUCUUUCUGAACUCAAGAUAGUCACUCCCCUGUUUAAACUCCUUUGGAGACUGCAGACAAAACAGUGGACUAAACUGAUCUGGGAUUCCAACUCCCACUCUCAACAUCUAAAAUUGCUAGAUAAAACAUCCAAACACACAUAGCUGAACUGCAGUCAUGAAAUAAAUGUCAAAAGAGAGCAAAGAAGAGUGGCACAUGCUUAUAAUCCCAGCUAUUUGGGAGGCUGAGGCAGGGGGAUUGAGAAUUUGAAGCCAGUCUUGGCAAUUUAGUCAAAAAAAAUAGUGGCAGGGGAGUGGGGAGUGCUGGGAAUAUAGCUCAGUGAUAGAGCAUGGGCACAGCAUGCAUGAGGCCAGGAAGUUUAUUUCAGGAAUUCAAGUAGAUUUUGAUAUUCAAAAAUCUACUUGUAACAAUAUUAACAGAAAAAUGGGAGACUCAUAUGAUCAUUUUAAGAAAAAGCAUUUGGUCAGUUCUACUACUCAUCUGUGAUAAAAGCAAAAUACUCUUAACAAAUUAGAAAGAGAUAAGAAUUUCCUUAAUCCAACAAGAAAUAGUCUAUCAAAUUCCUACAGCAAAUAUCAUACUUAAUGGCAAAUUAUUGACAGCUUUUUCCUUAAGACUGGAAUGAGAUAAGGGUAUCUCCUAUCACUCCUUCAAGUCAACAUUAUAUUGAAGAUCUUACCAGUGCAACAAGAAAAACAAAAUGAGGUAAAGAUUAUCAUAAAUGUUAUUAACAAAACAAACAGACACAACAAACUAUAUACAAGGGAAGAUUGAUUAUAUUGACAGAUUCAUCAACAAUAAAAGCUGGAUGAAUUAAGGUA
rnacentral:lncRNA from 1 species